rnacentral:rRNA from 1 species
UACAGAGGUGGCAAGCGUUGUUCGGAAUUACUGGGCGUAAAGGGCUUGUAGGUGGCCAACUAAGUCAGACGUGAAAUCCCUCAGCUUAACUGGGGAACUGCGUCUGAUACUGGAUGGCUUGAGUUUGGGAGAGGGAUGCGGAAUUCCAGGUGUAGCGGUGAAAUGCGUAGAUAUCUGGAGGAACACCGGUGGCGAAGGCGGCAUCCUGGACCAACACUGACACUGAGGAGCGAAAGCCAGGGGAGCAAACGGG